rnacentral:misc_RNA from 1 species
UAAGUGAUCUAGAAAG